rnacentral:rRNA from 1 species
CAGCAGUGGGGAAUAUUGCACAAUGGGGGAAACCCUGAUGCAGCCAUGCCGCGUGUGUGAAGAAGGCCUUCGGGUUGUAAAGCACUUUCAGUUGUGAGGAAAAGUUAGUAGUUAAUACCUGCUAGCCGUGACGUUAACAACAGAAGAAGCACCGGCUAACUCCGUGCCAGCAGCCGCGGUAAUACGGAGGGUGCGAGCGUUAAUCGGAAUUACUGGGCGUAAAGCGCACGCAGGCGGUUUGUUAAGCUAGAUGUGAAAGCCCCGGGCUCAACCUGGGACGGUCAUUUAGAACUGGCAGACUAGAGUCUUGGAGAGGGGAGUGGAAUUCCAGGUGUAGCGGUGAAAUGCGUAGAUAUCUGGAGGAACAUCAGUGGCGAAGGCGACUCCCUGGCCAAAGACUGACGCUCAUGUGCGAAAGUGUGGGUAGCGAACAGGAUUAGAUACCCUGGUAGUCCACACCGUAAACGCUGUCUACUAGCUGUGUGUGCCUUUAAGGCGUGCGUAGCGAAGCUAACGCGAUAAGUAGACCGCCUGGGGAGUACGGCCGCAAGGUUAAAACUCAAAUGAAUUGACGGGGGCCCGCACAAGCGGUGGAGCAUGUGGUUUAAUUCGAUGCAACGCGAAGAACCUUACCUACACUUGACAAUGCUGAGAACUUUCUAGAGAUAGAUUGGUG